rnacentral:tRNA from 1 species
GGGCCCGUAGCUCAGCUAGGUAGGACUGUUCGACCAUGACAAUUGAAUAUCCCUAGAAAGAGCAUCUGGCUUUUAACCAGGUGGUCCGGGGUUCGAAUCCCCGCGGGCCCG